UGACAUGAAAAACAUUAGCGUCCAUAAUAAAAAGGUAAAGUGAAACAGAGUUACAGAGCUUUUUAUGACAGGCGCAUGGACUUCAUUUACAAAUAAAACUAAGACCAAUUUUCAAUUUUCUAAAAAAUAACUGAUGACACCAACUUACAUUUUUCAGUCAAGUAAAGUCAAAGUCUUGCGUUGAUUUGCAGUCCUCUGUUAACUCAAAGUACUAGUGCUGUGUUAACUAAACAAGGCAGAAGUCCUGUGUUAACCGAAAGCAAAGACUCAUGUUUUUAUUAAUGUUCAUUGUAAGUGUUAAGGUCCAGUGGUAAAUCCUGUGGUAUUUUUGGCUGGACUUCCACCAUUUCCCCCCCUCUCACUCACCGUGAACAGACGAGCACGGCAGCGCCCAAAUCCUCCCAUAGAAAUAGUUUGGUUCUUGGGUGUUUUAACCAACACCAAAGUCUCUUCACUUUACCAAGGGCUCAACAAGUGAGGACUUUGUGGGUCACUUUCAUUUCAAACGGACCGGUGCCAGAAACACUGCCUCAGCAUUUAUACGUAUGUGCAUUUCAUACGCAUUUCGGCUCCUGUUGGAAAAAAAGGAUGUAUUCCUACAGUCCGUCAUUCACUCACUGAAGGGGGCACAUCCCAGUUACCCACAUGCAAGGAGGCUGUCAAACAGAGAAAUCACUGCAGACUGUUGAUACACAGACAUCUGCUGCCCAGCUCAGGAGUGAAGGUGAUGGUGAGGACAGCCACAGCUUCCAUCUGGUAGAGGACUGCUUCCGCUCAGUCUUCCAAAUAGUGAUGAGAACAAGGAUCACCACAUCUCCCUGGUCAUCUAUUUACAACUAACCUGUUCUGCUGCAGAAACAAAUCUCCAACAUAACAAAGUGUACCCCCUGCACAGGACAUGGACUGUUUACCCUACUUCCAUGCAUUUCGUCUGCAAGGCCCUGCAAAAGCUUCUGUCUUUAAACCCCCAGACUUCUUAAUUAACUCAGUAAGCUAUACAUUGCACACUGGAGUGUGAAGGUAACAGUUUGUUCUAGCUUUGGAGUAAUGGUGCAUUUUUUUGGUUGACAAUAAAGUUGGCUUUAACUAUUACGUAUUUCA
rnacentral:lncRNA from 1 species